AAGGAUAUAGCUCAGUGGUAGAACGCAUGCUUAGCAUGCACGAGGUUCUGGGUUCAUUCCCCAGUUCCUUCA
rnacentral:tRNA from 1 species